CCUACGGGGUGCAGCAGUAGGGAAUUUUCGGCAAUGGGGGGAACCCUGACCGAGCAACGCCGCGUGAAGGAAGAAGGAAUUCGUUCUGUAAACUUCUGUUAUAAAGGAAGAAAGACGGAUGGAGGAAAUGACAUCCGAGUGACGGUACUUUAUGAGAAAGCCACGGCUAACUACGUGCCAGCAGCCGCGGUAAUACGUAGGUGGCAAGCGUUAUCCGGAAUUAUUGGGCGUAAAGAGGGAGCAGGCGGCAGCAAAGGUCUGUGGUGAAAGACUGAAGCUUAACUUCAGUAAGCCAUAGAAACCGGGCAGCUAGAGUGCAGGAGAGGAGCGUGGAAUUCCAUGUGUAGCGGUGAAAUGCGUAGAUAUCAGGAGGAACACCGGCGGCGAAGGCGGCCUGCUGGACCGCGACUGACGUUGAGGCUCGAAAGCGUGGGGAGCGAACAGGAUUAGAUACCCCAGUAGUC
rnacentral:rRNA from 1 species